UGGGGAAUAUUGCACAAUGGGGGAAACCCUGAUGCAGCGACGCCGCGUGAGUGAUGAAGUAUUUCGGUAUGUAAAGCUCUAUCAGCAGGGAAGAAAAAAGACGGUACCUGACUAAGAAGCCCCGGCUAACUACGUGCCAGCAGCCGCGGUAAUACGUAGGGGGCAAGCGUUAUCCGGAUUUACUGGGUGUAAAGGGAGCGUAGACGGCAAUACAAGUCGGAAGUGAAAUACCCGGGCUCAACCUGGGAACUGCUUUGGAAACUGUAUGGCUGGAGUGCUGGAGAGGUAAGCGGAAUUCCUAGUGUAGCGGUGAAAUGCGUAGAUAUUAGGAGGAACACCAGUGGCGAAGGCGGCUUACUGGACAGUAACUGACGUUGAGGCUCGAAAGCGUGGGGAGCAAACAGG
rnacentral:rRNA from 1 species